rnacentral:lncRNA from 1 species
ACAGGGGCCUCAGGGGGGCAUGUGUCCUCAUGCCAACAGCAGGUCAGGAGCCUGGGCCCAGGGUUGUCACGGUGGCUCCGAGUCACAGCCAAGAGGAGCUGGGACCAUGGGGUCAGAGGCCUGGGUGUGCCCACCAGGGUGAAGCAACUCUGGCCGGGACGGCUUCUCUGUUCCAGAUGUGCCUCUGGCCCAGGGCUUUACAGCCGUAUGGCCUGGUCACCCCCGUGUGCACCCUGACCCUGGAUCCCGCAGGAGUCGCGCAGACCAGGUGCUCCCGGGGGCACAGGUGGGAGGCAGGCCACGGAGACAGAUAGGUGAGGAGUAGGCUUUCGGGGGUGGCGAGGGUGGAAAGGAAGCUGUGGGGGCCGCCAGGUCCGGGGCAGGGGCGGGCCGCGGCUCUGGGAGUGAGAGUGGGAGCCCCGGGGCUCCUGGCUCAGAAGCAGCCCAAGGGAGUUCCCCUUGUGGCUCAGCGGGUUCCGAACUCAAGGACCCAGGUUCGAUGCCUGGCCUCACUCAGGGGGUUAAGGAUCUGGCGUUGCUGAGAGCUGCGAGGCGUGGGUCGCAGAUGCGGCUCGGAUCCCGUGUUGCUGUCAUCGUGUGGAGACUGGCAGCUGCAGCUCCAGUUCAACCCCUGGCCUGGGAACUUCCUAUGUUGCAGGAGAGACCCUAAAAAGCCAAAAAAAAGAAAGAAAGAAAAAGAAAAGGAAAGCAGAGGCCCUGAGACAGAAGUCAACUGUGUUCCAGAGACGCUAGGCUGGGGUGCUGGACGGGGAGGGGGGUGCAGGCCACACAGACCACGGUCCUGGGAAUCAGUGGCUCUGGAGGGGGACAGAGGCCCCCAGCUGGACCGUCCGAAUGGAUCUCGUUGGGAAUCGGGUCCUUGUGGACAUAAUUCAGACUUUUUCCACUUUCAGAGAGAUGUGGUCACUUCAACAUCCCGGUGCGUGACCGGCUUCUUUCCCUCAAGCACCGGUGGCGCUGUCCCAUCACGCGAGGUCCAUUUGGUCCUUUGGCAGCAGCUUCUGACAGGUGUGGCGUCUGGGUGUCGCGUGGGUGUACUGACCAGGCCAGUGGGUGGACACUGGGCCGCCAAGAGGGUGCCUGCACUUUUGCACCUUUGGGGUCACACCGUCGGAAUGGGGGCUGGGUCAGAGGUGGGGCACAGCUCACGGCAUGGAGGGUCUUCCUGGACAGCCCCCUCCCCACAAUGGGGGGGAGCUCACAGAGCGGAGGGGGGGCGGCUGGAGGCCCUGGAGGAAGGCCAGCAUUGGGCAGGUCCUGCUGGAAUCCAGCCCUGGUUUGAUGUUCCCUUUGACGGUCUGCCUAUAGGACACUUUGGUCUGCAGCAGCCAGUAGCCCAGCUUCCACUCCGGGGAAAGAGCGUCUCUCCGGCACCAUCAGGGGCAGCCUUGACCUGGCAGGUCAGGGAGGCCAGUGGGAGCCUGACGCAUCCACCCAAACGCACCCCCUGGCUGUGCACCCAUCUGUCGUCCCCCAGCCCGUCCUCUCCUCUCAGGGGGCGGGCACCACUCUGCACACUGACCCCCUUCCCUUGCUCACCCUUCAUCCAUCCUUCACGCUUUUUAUUUUAUUUUUUGUCUUUUGUUAUUUUCAGGGCUGCACCUGCAGCAUAUGGAGGUUCCCAGGCUAGGCGUUGAAUCAGAGCUGUAGCUGCCCGGCCACAGCCAUGCCAGAUCCAAUUCGCAUGUGCGACCUACGCCACAGCUCACGGCAAUGCCGGGUCCUGAACCCACGGAGCAAGGCCGGGGAUCGAACCCGCAACCUCAUGGUUCCUGGUUGGAUUCGCUUCCGCUGUGCCACGACGGGAACUCCCACUCUUUCCAUCCUCUCGUCCAGCCACCCACAUCAGUUAUUCGUGUGUAGCCAACAACCUCAACGCUUAGUGGCUUUGAAAAGUAAGGAACAGGCGCGGGGGAGCAAGCAAGAGUUUAAAGAAUGGUGGAGACACGUCCAAGAAGACAGGAGCCAGCUCCCCACUGACCAACUUGUAGGCAAGCUGAUCAUCAAACAGACAGUGACAGUAAAAGCUUAUAAUCUACGGGGCAAAGUAAGAGGCCCUGAGUCCAAAGCAAUGGGGAAAAAAAUGAAUCCACGGAGAAGAUGCAGCAGCUCUCGCGAGAAUGCCAGCUCAGCGAGCACCUCGGGCCAGGUACCACCACCACCACCCCCUGAUCCAGACCCCAGCCAUCGGGGAGCGGACGUGAGCCAGUGAGGGCUCGAGGGGGAGGACAGCCUCUGCCUGGCCUCAGGCUGUGCCCCACUGACGCCUCAGGCACGUCUGUGCAGAGAGGAGAGAUGCAGCAGGCACCUCCUUAACCGCGCCCUCGACCUUGCCGCCAGGCUGAGGUCGGCGGUAAAGGGCCACACUCACAUCCUGUGCCUCGUGACACGGUGCCCAAAGAAGCCCUGAGCCGCGGCCACGACAACCCCCGAUCCUUCACCAGGUUCCCGGGAAUUGCAUCAACAGCCUUGUUGAGGCAGGACUCAGAACCCAUCAAGUUCCCCCUUUGAAAGCGGCUUUUCGCGCCUUCGCAGCUUUAUAUCCGUCUCAACGCGCAAGUUCCAGAACCUUCCCACCCCCAAGGAAACCCCGGGCCCUCGAGCAGCCUCCCCGUUUCCCCCUCUCCCGGCCUGGGG